ensembl:snRNA
GUGCUGUACAAAGGAGAGAAGCUUAGCCUUCUCCUUGACAAGGACAGAGGAGACCUUUAGGCCUGUACAACACACGUAGAGUUAAGGCAGUGUCACUUACUUGGUGGCAUGUGAACAUUGUUUU